GGGACCAUGAGGUAGCCUGGACUAUCCUUCGGCGUUCGGGACGCCGAUACCUGAGUUCGAAUCUCAGUGGUCCCA
rnacentral:tRNA from 1 species